AAAUUGAAGAGUUUGAUCAUGGCUCAGAUUGAACGCUGGCGGCAGGCCUAACACAUGCAAGUCGAACGGUAACAGGAAGAAGCUUGCUUCUUUGCUGACGAGUGGCGGACGGGUGAGUAAUGUCUGGGAAACUGCCUGAUGGAGGGGGAUAACUACUGGAAACGGUAGCUAAUACCGCAUAACGUCGCAAGACCAAAGAGGGGGACCUUCGGGCCUCUUGCCAUCGGAUGUGCCCAGAUGGGAUUAGCUAGUAGGUGGGGUAACGGCUCACCUAGGCGACGAUCCCUAGCUGGUCUGAGAGGAUGACCAGCCACACUGGAACUGAGACACGGUCCAGACUCCUACGGGAGGCAGCAGUGGGGAAUAUUGCACAAUGGGCGCAAGCCUGA
rnacentral:rRNA from 1 species